CCGGCGCACGGGUGAGUAACACGUAUGCAACCUGCCCUCUUCAGGGGGACAACCUUCCGAAAGGGAGGCUAAUCCCGCGUAUAUCGGUUUCGGGCAUCCGAGAUCGAGGAAAGAUUCAUCGGAAGAGGAUGGGCAUGCGGCGCAUUAGCUAGACGGCGGGGUAACGGCCCACCGUGGCGACGAUGCGUAGGGGUUCUGAGAGGAAGGUCCCCCACACUGGUACUGAGACACGGAUCAGACUCCUACGGAAGGCAGCAG
rnacentral:rRNA from 1 species